rnacentral:rRNA from 1 species
UACGGAGGGUGCAAGCGUUAAUCGGAAUUACUGGGCGUAAAGCGCGCGUAGGCGGUUAAACAAGUCAGAUGUGAAAGCCCCGGGCUCAACCUGGGAACUGCAUUUGAAACUGUUUAGCUAGAGUAUGGUAGAGGAGAGUGGAAUUUCAGGUGUAGCGGUGAAAUGCGUAGAUAUCUGAAGGAACACCAGUGGCGAAGGCGGCUCUCUGGACCAAUACUGACGCUGAGGUGCGAAAGCGUGGGUAGCAAACGGG